rnacentral:lncRNA from 1 species
UGCGUGCGUGGCAUAGUGACUAGACUGCCCAGUCAGCUUUGACUGGGUCAAAACCGCUUGACCAGCUCCAAACUGAGUCAAGGGUAGUAAUCUGGACCCCGUGACAAGUUGAAGGUUAAAUAUGAUCUGUUUUAGAAAUCGGGAUUGAAAAUCAAAACACGUGGUUAGGUGAGGGUUGAAAUGUGGACUUUUCUCUAAAGCUGUAUGGUUACAUCCUGUCUUUGGUAGCUACACAGCCUGCAAGCCGUAGCUAGCUGUGAUGCUUUUUGGUCCGCCGAUGCAUGAGAGCAUCGCAUGCAUGAUCGGUGGAGAUACAAAUACUUAAUCAUAUCAGUGCCAUCGACACAAAUAGUAGGCAGAUUUUAUGAGAACGCUUUGUGUCAUAAAAUCGCUGGUAUGCUAUGCCUUAAUUCAACAUUAGGGGUGCAACCCGUGACAAGGCUUUGAUAUCCUAUGAGAGGCGCGACCCAUCACCGUUGAACAAUUUCAUCAAGAAACAACACAGGCGUCGAAGAUACGUUGGUCAGGUAUUAUUGAGAACGAAUUUGUUUCAGCAGUGUGUUCGACCGGUUAGAUUCAAUACAACUUUAUUUCAUGCGAGUUUCAUUCAGGUCGACAGUUACAGGAGAGCCAUCGGUGCACAUUUUUCAUGCUGAAAAGGUGAAAGCUGGUGCAUAUCGUCUGGGACACAACAAAAGAAGGUAAUGCGGUCGUGUAAGUCGCGAAAUACCCACAUGAAGAAACCGUUUUUCAUUUUCCUUUAUUCUGUUAGGUGUGUGAAAACUAUCUAUUUUGCUUUAUAGGAAUCUUAUUUUGGCUAUUCUAUGGUUGUGUCGCUUAAUGUCCCAGGUCCAUGUUUGUUUAUUUUUAGUGAAUGUACCAAGUGCAUGUAUUAUUGCGUCGGCAAAAUGUACUAGGUUCAAGUAUGGUUGUGUUGGCUGAAAGUAUCAGAUCUAAGUAUGAUUGUGUCCGUUGAUUGUAUCAGGUCCAAAUAUGGUUGUGUCUGUUGGAUUUACCAGGUCCAAGUAUGGUUUUAUCCUCUAAAUGUACCUGGUCCAAGUAUAGUUGUAAUGUAUCAAGUCCAAAUAUGACUGUGCUGGGUAAAUGUAUCAAGUCCAAGUAUGAUUGUGUCGGUUAAGUGUAUCAGGUACAAGUAUGGUUGUGCCGGUUAAACGUAGUAAGUUCAAGUAUGGUUGCGUCGGCUAAAUGUAUCCGGUCCAAGUAUGAUUGUGUCCGUUGAAUGUACCAGGUCCAAGUAU